rnacentral:rRNA from 1 species
AUGAUUUUCUGUCAACCCGACGAACAAGACUUGCAACCUGUGCUCACCAUUUUGGAGUUACUACUUUCAUUCUUUAAGAAGACCAAUCAUAAACCCAACAGAUCAUGUUCUACACGUAAGUGCUUCCAACUUCCAAGUAUGAUGUUAUUGUUCAUCGUCAGCGGUGCCUUUGAUGCUUUUGUUUUUCUAUGUAGGGAUGAUGUGACUGAAGGGCAGUUCGCCCAAGUUCCAAUAUAUGAAUUGGAUGCCAUUGGGAAGCCAAAGGCUUGUGCAUCUUUGCAGGAGGAUUAUCAGCCCCCUGUGACAUUUGUGGUUGUCCAGAAAAGGCAUCACACAAGGCUCUUCUCUGAGGUGCAUGGAAAAGAGACUGAGAAAAGUGGAAACAUCGUUCCUGGAACCAUGGUUGACACCAACAUAUGCCAUCCCACUGAGCUUGAUUUCUACCUAUGUAGCCAUGCUGGGAUUCAGGGCCCAAGCAUACCAACUCAAUACCAUGUCCUCUUCAAUGAGAACCGUUUCACUUCUGAUGGGCUGCAAUAG